rnacentral:rRNA from 1 species
GACGAACGCUGGCGGCGUGCCUAAUACAUGCAAGUCGAGCGCAGGAAAUCGACGGAACCCUUCGGGGGGAAGUCGACGGAAUGAGCGGCGGACGGGUGAGUAACACGUAAAGAACCUGCCCUCAGGUCUGGGAUAACCACGAGAAAUCGGGGCUAAUACCGGGUGGGUCAUCGGACCGCAUGGUCCGAGGAUGAAAGGCGCUUCGGCGUCGCCUGGGGAUGGCUUUGCGGUGCAUUAGCUAGUUGGUGGGGUAAUGGCCCACCAAGGCGACGCUGCAUAGCCGACCUGAGAGGGUGAUCGGCCACACUGGGACUGAGACACGGCCCAGACUCCUACGGGAGGCAGCAGUAGGGAAUCUUCCACAAUGGACGAAAGUCUGAUGGAGCAACGCCGCGUGAACGAUGAAGGCCUUCGGGUCGUAAAGUUCUGUUGUAAGGGAAGAACAUGUGCCGCAGGCAAUGGCGGCACCUUGACGGUACCUUGCGAGAAAGCCACGGCUAACUACGUGCCAGCCGCCGCCGUAA